rnacentral:rRNA from 1 species
AGUGAACGCUGGCGGCGUGCCUAAUACAUGCAAGUCGAACGGAGAUUAAGUAGCUUGCUAUUUAAUCUUAGUGGCGCACGGGUGAGUAAUAUAUAGCUAACUUGCCCAUUACUAAGGGACAACAGUUGGAAACGACUGCUAAUACCUUAUACUCCGUAUCUAUAUAAGUAGAUACGGGAAAGUUUUUCGGUAAUGGAUAGGGCUAUAUCGUAUCAGCUAGUUGGUAAGGUAAUGGCUUACCAAGGCUAUGACGCGUAACUGGUCUGAGAGGAUGAUCAGUCACCCUGAACCUGGGCCACGUUCCGGACUCUUACGGGAGGCAGCAGAAGGGAAUAUGGCUAAUGGGGGGAAACCCUGAAGAACCACGGCCGGGGGAAGGAUGACACUUUUGGGGGCUAAAACUCUUUUUCUGGGGAAAGAUUUUGACGGUACCCAAGGAAUAAGCACCGGCUAACUCCGUG